UCCAUCAGGAGGGAAGAAACAGCUUCCUAAUUCAAUCUUUUGGUCUGUACAGCUUCUCUUUCUCCACCUCCCUCCUCCUCUCUCUUGUCCCAAGAUGUAAAGAUUUUCCAGGAGAUAACAUGUCAUUGCUGUAACUGUAAGACAAGGCUGAUCUUCAGAUAUUAAUUCUUCUGAGAUUUUUCUGUCUCUCUCACCUUUUUGACUGAUAUAUCCUCUCUAUUUGUCUCCAAUUGCCUUCCUGUUGUGACACCAAGUAAAACCAUAAAACAUGAAUGCAGAAACACAGUGUUGACUAAAUCUUCAGCUCUGGGAUUGGAAAGAAGACCAUUGUGCCAGCACCUGAACACUCUGAAGGGUUUUCCCCCCUCAUAAUUCUUUGGAUGAAAACACUUCUGGUGAAGUUAACAUUCCUAGGUUGCAGUGUAAUUUAAUUUGUCAUUGUAAGUGGUAUUUGUUCGACAUUCACUUAAUAAUUUAAGAGAAAGGAGUUAUCUUUGAGUAUAAAGAAGUAAAUAUGUUAAAACCCACUUAGCCUGUGAGUAGUUUUAUUUUCUGAGUCAUUCAUAAAUGACAACUAACCUAAAGUGUUUAAAAAUAUUUGUCCAUAAUAAUAAUAACAGCAAAACCCAAUGUGAGUGUCUGAAAAGUUCAUUAGCUUAGGGAACAACAAUGCCACCUGUUUUGUUCAGUCAUUUGUGGGGGGGACAG